rnacentral:lncRNA from 1 species
AGCUUUUAAGAUUGGAGCAACCUGAAAGAAUUAACUUUUCAAGAGAUUCCAUUCCAAUUUUGAUUGGAAGACUCCUAAGACUUUUGCAGUCUUUUAAAUUCAAUAGUUCAAGUCUUCUGAGAUUUCCGAUCGAAGAAGGUAGCUCUUUAAUGUUUGUCCCAUCAAGACAAAGCUCCAACAAACAUUCCAUUUUCCCAUCAAUCUCUGGAAAGCUUUGAAGUUUUGAGCAACCUGAAAGAAUUAACUUUUCAAGAGGUUCCAUACCAAUUUUGGUUGGAAAACUCCUCAGAUUUUUGCAGCCUCUUAAAUCCAAAAGCUUAAGCCUUGUAAGAACUCCAACAGAUGGAUGAACAUAUACUAAUCUAGUACAUCCUUCCAAAACCAAAAUUUCAAGAUUUGGGAUAGUUGUGAAGUCUGGUGCCUUGAUCAGGUUUUCAGACCCUUUGAGGUUGAGCACUUUCAACUUAUACAGGGGCUGUUGAAAACAAAUAUAUUAGAGAUAAACAAGAGAAUAACAUAGGAAAGCUCAUUUUUAUUGUUAUCCUUCAAUGUUAAUAAAAAUUUCAUCUUUCUUGUCGAAAUAAGAUAGAAAACAAUGACCAAAUGAGUUAAUUCUUACUAUGUUUUCCUUCCAUAGUUGUUCAAUCUUGCUAUAAGGUAGGAGAAGUAUAACAAGGCUUUCCGGUUUGAAACUUGAAGGUAAUGAUCGUAAAGGACAUCCCAUCCAAUCUAAAAGUCGUAACUCAUUAGAAAGAUAUGUCAGAUCAUAACAAUUUGUCCGACAAAGGAUUUUGAGUAGUCUUAAUCUUUUCAUCUUCAAGAAGGCAUCCGCACUCAAAGUGAAAGUCUCGCUCAUUUCCCUAGGUAGAAUAAAAAUAUGAUUAUACAUGUACAAAACAUUUAGUAUCUAAAAGUAAGUUAGGACGAAUAUUCGAACAUAGAUAUAAAUAUAUGAUCCUUCAAGAAAUCUCAAAAAGAAUGAAAAUGUAAAAGAAAAUGAAUAUGCUCCUACCAAACACAUGUAUAUAUAGCACCAACAUCCAAAUUUGAAUAAAGUAGGUUGAAAAAAUUGGAGUUGAUAUUCACAAACUCACACCGCCAGAAACCAUGAUAUACACACAAAAAAAGCGUUUGACUAAAGACAAAAUGCAAGAAAAUAGAUACAUGCGAAUGCAAUGACAUUACGAUUACACCAAAAUACAUACAACGAACUUUCACAAUUACCAUAAACAUACUCUUUAACUACUAUUUUAUUUUUCAUAACACAUGCCACUUCUUUUUUAUUAUUUUCAUAAUAAAUAUGUGUAUGUUUCCUCACCUUUUAUUGUCGAUGGUUAUGCCUUCAAUCAUUUUUGUAGCCUAAAAAUAAAAAUAAAACACAACAAAAAUUCGUGAAAUUUACAUUUAUGAUAAUUUAGCAUUAUUAUUGGUUGAAAUUAAUAAACAAAAACAAACUAAAUAAAACAAUUUUCAACUAAAGUAGUUCAAUGAAAUAACAUUUCUUAUUUAUACAUAUCAUGGAGGUCUUUUUUAAUAUUAAUAAUUAAAAAAAUUAAAUGAUACAUUUUAGAAAUAUACAGGAUAAAUGUACUUCCUUUACUUUAUCAAUAUUUAAAAUAAACACUUUAUAGACAUAAUAGAUUAUAUAUGUUUUUUUAAUAAAAAAAAUCAUAAAUUUAAUUCAUCUCACCUCUUAAUAUUAAUUGUUUGAAUUAAUUAAGCUAAAGUAAGAAUAUAUAUAAUUUGUAUGGAAUGACUUACAGUUUUUGUUGUUAGCACAUGAUAAACAUCUCUUUCCACCCACAAUCUACAACGUUUUCCCGGUUCAUCAAUAGAUUUUUCCCUAACAAUUUUUCUUCCCAUUUCUUGUAGCAAGUCAUGCAUCCGCAAUUUGUUGUAUUUAUUAAUUGUUAGUAGAGAUCUUUUAAUGAGAACAUCGAUUCCAAUAUUUGGAAAAAACUCACAACCAUCCAGUACUUUCAUUACAAAAUCUUUCUCCUCCCCAUUAAAGAAGCAUGCUAUAUCUAGAAAUAUAUUCUUCUCCCUUUCUUCCAAUCCAUCAAAACUUAUUUGAAGUCUAUCAAGAAUUUCUUUGUUAGAAUCUCUUUCAAGUCUUUCUAUUGCGCUUGUCCAUUGCCUUGCAUCUCUAUCACACAGAAAAGAACCCAAAACUUCAAGAGCUAAGGGGAGUCCACCAGCAUAACCUAUAACAUGUUUAGCUAUCUCAAUGAAAUCCUCUUUUGGCACAGUCUCGCAACCGAAAGCUUUCAAAUUGAAAAGAUGAAGUGCAUCAUUGACCGUCAAUGUUGUAGGCUUAUACACACCAUCAACUCGAUAAGAUCAGAGCAAAUGUUCAUCUCUUGUUGUUACAAUGAUUCUGCUCCCUAAACCAAACCAAUCACGCCUUCCAGCCAAGCAUUUCAAGUGCUGUAGGUUAUCAACAUCAUCAAGAACAACAAGAACUCUUUUGUGAGACAACCUGUGGCUAAUUAUGGUUUUCCCUUCAUGAACAUUGAAAAAAUCGAAGCUUUCCUCAAACAAGAUUUGGGAAAGUAAUUGUUUCUGUAAAGAAACAAGUCCACAUUUUUCUGAAACUUCUCGAACAUCAGCAAGAAAGCUUUUACCUUCAAAAUGAGGUGACAUUUGAUCGUAAACAACUCUUGCAAGAGUCGUUUUGCCAAUGCCACCCAUACCACAAAUUCCUAUGAUACGGAUGUCAUCUUCCCCAAUUUCUAUUUCCGAAUGCAACUCAACCAAGCUUGGAUUGAUUCCAACUAACUCAUCAUGGUCAAUUGGAUAUGUUUGACAUAACUUUGCUGAUAUUCUUUUAACAAUGUCUCCAAUAAAUUCUGAUUCAUGCCUACAAAGAUAUAAAGAUUUAAUUUUUAAUUAAGAAAUUGAUUGAUAUGGGUAUGAAGUUUAUAGUUUUUCCGGUGUUAUUGCCUUAUUUGCCUUAGAACACUAGAAAAUAACAAUUUUCCAAUUUUGUCCAUAUAUAUGAAAAAGCAGCUAAUUUAAAAAAAAUUGUAAUCAUUAAAUUUAAAACUAAAAAUGAAGAAAAAAGAAAACCUAUUAUUUGAGUGCCAUCCCUUGAUAUUAGCCACUUCAGUUAAAGCAUUUCUCCACCUUCGGAUCUUUGCUUCAUCUUCCUUGUAUCUCUCUUCGUGUUUGGCAAAAGCUGCUUCAACUUUCUCUUUUUGUUUUCUCAAAUCAGAUGGAUCCACACCAUAGAAAAUUGGAAAUACUUUAUGACCAUUCUCCUCCUUUUGUUUAACAAUCUCAGCAAGUUCCUCCAAGCACCAACCUGAAAAGACGUAGUUUUCCGAGAAAACGAUUACUGAGCACCAUGAUUGUUGAAUUGCUUUAAAGAGCUCAGGUGCAAUCUCUUCGCCGGCCUCCAGCUUUGGAUCAUCCCUGAAAGUGACGAUUCCGCUCCUUCUCAAAGCAUCAUAGAGAUGGUCUGUGAAGUUAUAACGAGUAUCUUCACCUCUAAAACUCAAGAAUACGUCAUAUUCUUUGUGUCUAGGAAUAGACGAGGAAGUUGAGGGCAAAGAGGACAUGAGGAAGUACAAGAAGGAAAAAGAUAUGACAAUCUAGUUUGGGAAAACCAGAAAAUAAGGUGGCUCAAUAUGCAGAAAGGGAAAGCAGACAAAGGCUUCUAAGCAAUUUCUCUAUACAUUUCCCACCUUUUUUUUCUGCAAAACGAAUCUUCAUAGUAAUAGCUAUGAAAAGGUGGGUGGAAGUUUGGUGACAAAUGAAAAUGAUGGUGUUUUCCAGGAAAUAUCGUUUAAGGUGAGGGCAGAUUGGUUGCUUUGUCCACAGAGUGGAGGCUACUUUAAUUACCUUUUUCUUUUUCCUUUCUUUUUGGUUCAAACACCUUUUUCUUUUCCGUGUGGAAAGUGUCAAGUAAAGACAAGGCCCAAUGGGCCCAACAAUAUGAAAACCCUUUUCUUUUUACAGUAUUCAGCCCAAAACAAGAGAAAAAGAAAUUCCUUCUGCUUUGAAGUUUGAACCCCAGCCAACAGUCCCUCUGCUCUUUUUUUUUAAUAGACUGGAAAACAACAAUCAAAAUCUAAAUCGAUGAAAGCGAGGUCCAAUGUGAUCCCAUUCAAGACUGUCUCUUAGCUCGUCUGGUAAAUCUUCUAGUAUUCGAAUCAUCGACGAAGUUGAGCCAUUUCUUUGCUAAACUAUCAACCACACUGUUGACUUCACGCAAUCCAUGAUGAAACUCAACUGGCCAUAGUCGUUCCCUAAGUCUACUUACAACACGCACCAACCUUAGGUUGCUUUCCUUUGCUUGAGUUGUAUUAAUGAGAUGAAUAACAUCAUCACUAUCUAACUCAACAAUAAGUUGCAAAAAUCCCUUUUCCCAUGAAACACCAAACCCAUCAACCACUGCCCAAAACUCGACUUGCAGAGUCGAAGAAUAUCCAAUGCCUCUAAAGUACACGGCAAUCCAUUCGCCUUGAGCAUCCCGAAAUACUCCUCCUCCUGCUCCCAACCCAUUUGCAGCAGCCACAAUCUCGUCUAUGUUCAGUUUAAUCCAUCCAAUUGGUGGCUUUUCCCAUCUAAUUUCUCUAAUCAUUAUUUGUCUAUUUGGACAACCAAUCCUUUUAUUUAGCAUCGCAUAUUCUGAUAGGCCAUUACUUCUCCGAGUUACAGCUCCUCUACUGAGGACAUUUUAACCUUUUUCCACACAAGAGGGCAUAUUUCCAUCCAAAUAGUAGAAGGGAGAUUAUGGAUAAACAAGCUUUGCUAACAUUGUAGCAAUAGAAUUCCCAAUCAGAUAUGUUAACAGAUAAGAUAGAUACAGAGAUGAGUAGCUUCAUGCAAAAUAAACAACCCUGGAUUCCUUGAAAGUAGGGGUGGAGCCAGGGGCUGGCAAGCACAACACCUAAAAAUACAAAAAUUUUCAUUUAAACCUUUUAUAAUUUAUUAAAAUUUAAAUUAAUAAUGAUAAAAUUACACUUUAGCCCCUUCAAAAAUAAUAAAAAUUUGAUUUAAUCCCCUAAAACUAUAAAGAUGUAGGCUAUUAAAAUAGUGAAUUUAUAUUUUUUCUAUUGUAAAAAUAUAUAAUUUAUUUCCGACCUCUCCAAAAAAAAUUUCUAGCUCCACCACGGCUUGAAAGCUAAAUCAUAAUAUGUAGAUAUGUCUACAAACUUAAUAUAUAAUCUUAGCUAUGAUUAAAAGAAAUUCUAAAAUACCAACAGGUGAUUAGAUGAAGUACUUUUGCCCUAGGCAUUUGGAUCCUGGAGUUGUCAUUGUUGUGAGGGCCUUAUGCAAUUCUCAUUCUCGACUUGAAUAAGAUUAGUCUUAGACCGUAAAACAGACAACAACACAUAUGAUUAUACCCAAAAUAAUCUAAAUUUUUUAACAAUUAUAUAAAUACAAAAGAAUAUUUUAAAAUAUAAAAAAAAUAAGACACAAUAGUAUAACAUCAGUAAUGAAAUUCGCUUCAAAUGAAAGGGUGUCAAAUUGAAUAAAUGUGUAAAAAUUGAGAGUUAAAUUUAUUAUAUCAAUGGACAUUUUGCUACUUUAUCUAAGGUACAAAGUCCAAUAUGCCCAUUUUUGGAUGGAAAACUAAAAAUGCAGUCUAAGAUAUAUGUACAAGGACUUCUAUGGGACUUUUGCUCCUUUUGUUUUCUUUUGUUGCGUAGCUACAUUGUAUAGAAGGUUAAACAUUUCUGGUAGGUUGGGUACCUUUUUGUUGUAUGGAUUUUGGACUGAAUGCGGAAUAUACUUACUUUAAUAAAAAAAAAUUCCAGUAAUUGAAAGACAUAUUGGAGUUUGAGCGACCAUAGCCUUUUCAAGGAAAUAGGGGGCCAAACCUGACUGUGCUUGAUAUAACAAAACUAUGUUAUCCAAAUUUGGGAUGUGUAAAAUACGAGUGAAUAUUCACCAUGCGUAUAAUAAAAGGGUAAAUAACGUAGAUAAAAAAAUAAGUCUAAAAAAUUAAUAGGUGCUUCUUCCCCGAUUGGCCCAUGAAUUGAAAAAAAAUUUCAUCCCUUUUAGUUGCGGCCCUUCCUCUAACUCUUCAUAGAUAUUGCAUUUGCACUUUACAAGAGAACUGCUACCUAUUGAUCCAUAACCAUUAGAGUGUUGAUGGACAUCUUCAAAAUUCGCAAAACAUUGAUUUUAAUGCAGCUUUUUCAUUCCAUCUCUUCCAAAUCUUUCUCAUACACUAUUCUAACACCACACUUCUUCACCUUAACGCUGCAAUAACAUGUGAAAGACAACUCAAGUUCAUCGUGUUCCUGGUCCGAGUAAUAUGUUGUCAAUAAAUUGUUGGUUUCAGGUUCACCGCAUUUAUCCUCCAAAGUAAAUGGAUAUAAUUUGUCACGCGACCAAUAACAAAGAAAAAGGCGAUCCUUCACUAUCGGAUUGUCGUAUUGUUUGCCUAUAAAAUAGCCAUGGUCCUCCAUACGUCGAGAAUUUCCAUUUAGGAAAAUGGAUUCAUCACAACCAGAUUGUACUGAAUUUCUACAAUGGAUAACAGCUUUACACGAGAUUAACUCAUCUCUCGAAGCAUCAUCAUUGACAAGAAUGAAGCACAAAGCAACUCCCACCCAUUGACUGUCAGUCCAAAUAUUUGGAGGUAGUGAUACCUCUAUUAAUGAAGAGGCAACUCUCAGAUGUUUUUCUUCAAGCUACAAAUACCUGCAAAAUUAAACACCCGCCAUUUGGUAACUAAAAUAAAGAAAUUUUAAGAAUGAGAUUUUGUAAGUGAAAAGGAGGUAAAAUAUUUAUUUUACCUUGAGGUGUUCUUUAAGAAAUGUUAUUGCUUUGAUGUUUUUAGCCAAUUUGUAGCAGUUAGCAGCAAAAAUCCAAGUGUUAUCCACUGAAUUGCAAACUUUUGGCGGAUUUGCAACAAUUUCAGGAGAAGCACAAUCAAUUAUGCUCACACUUCCUUAACUUGUUGGAAGCUGAGGCAACGAUUUAAGCCUCUUGCAAGUUGCCAAUCCAAGAAAUUCAAGCUUGGAAAUUUGAGUAAGAGACGACAGAAUGCUGAUAAAACUGUUACCAUCAAGGUCAAGUGGUUUCAAAGAGGAUAGACAAGAAAUAUCACUAGGAAUAUCUCCUCGACAAAGUUUGCAGUCCCUUAAACUUAGCCUUGCUAAUGAUCUCAAACCGAAAAACAAAGGCAACAUCAAAGCCAUAGAAUUUGUCCUUCCUCUUUGGAUUACCUUGAAAAUGGAAGGCAGAUGUUGUCGUAACUUAGAUGAAGGUCCCUUGCUCCCAUUAAAAGACAAAACUUUAAGAUUUUUAAAUUUAAAAAAGAAAGGUGGUGGUUUUGUCAUGGUUGUUUCACUUAAGUCAAGCUCCUCCAAGAAUUCUAUUUGCUGCAAAUUCUCUGCCAAAUUUUCAACUUUAUAACAACCAGAAAGAUUAAGAGUUUUUAAACUUUCAGAUUUAACAUAACAAGUUUCUCGAGGUUUCCAAUUGAAGAAGGAAGUUCUUGAAUGCCUGUCUCCUCUAAAUAGAGCUCCAACAAAUCUUCCAUUUUGCCAUCAAUCUUUAGAAACCUCACAAGUUUUGAGCAGCCUGACAAAAUUGAGAAUCAAAUUUAACUUAAACAAAGAAUAAAAGGCAAAGUGAUAAAAAAUAUAAAUGCUAAGGACUAAAUUAAUAUUUUGCCUAUAUUUUUCUUAUUUUAUAUUUGCUAUUUAGAUAUAUGAUUAAUCUUUAAAAUAUAUAAAAGCAAAUUUAAAAGAUUAAACUAGACACAUAUCACAAUUAAUACAUAACUUGGGUCUCUAACAAUUUUGAACAAAAAUGAAUGAAAGGACAAUUUUACUUGACGAAAUUAGUCAAAUAACAAAAUAAAAGGAUGAUUAUAACCUCUAAACAUGGUCAAAGGAUUCACACCUUAUUUAAUAGUUGCUUCUUCAUGGAAAAAUCAAAACUUCCUUCACAUUUUAUCUCCAGCCGAUUACAUUUCUUCAAUCUGAGAUCAUAAAAUUUAAUUAUAUAAAAAUAAUAAUAUUUUGAAUGCUAUAUAAAAAAUAUAUCGAAAAUGAACUUUAAAUGGAAUAAAAAAACUGUAAAUAAUAUGAUAGACAAAGAAAAGUCAUAAAAAAAAAGAAUUAAUAGGACAAGGCCAAUGAAGUAGUUUACCACAAUUAGUAUUUCUUCCCAAGUCUGCUCAUUAUAGAACUGAUAAUUUUUUGCAUUCGUUUUGGUUGCGGCCCUUCAUCCAUCUCCUCGUAGAUAUUAAGUUUUCGCUUUAUUAGGGAACCGUUACCUUUUGAUCCAUCAUCAGCAGAGUGUUGCUGGUUAUCUUCAAAAUUUGCACAACACUAACUACUAUGCAGCUCUUGUAUUUGUUCCAUCUCUUCCAAAUCUCUCAUACACUAUUCUAACACCACACUUCUUCACCUUAACACUGUUAAACUGGGGAUCUGUGAACGACAACUUAAGUUGAUAGCAUUCCUGAUCUAAGCAACCUGUUGUCCAAAAAUUAUUGGUUUCGCGUUCACCACAUUUGUCUUCCAAGUAAAUUGGAUACAACUUGUCACGCGAGAAAUAACGAAUUAAAUGUGGUCCUUCAUUACGGGCCGUUCAAAAUGUUGAGAGUUGGCCUGCAAUGCAACAUGAAACCAGCAGCAUUCUGCCAUCGAGGUCAGCAACUUUGCUUGGAGCGCAAGACUGAAGCUGGACCGAAUGAAGCAAUCUGUUUUGGUCACUUUGUUCCUAUGUAAUUUAGUUUAGUUCAAUUCUAACUUACUUACAAAGUUAGUAGGAUUAUGUUUGUGAUGUGCUCUUGAUGUAAAAGCUGAAAUGUCAGCUUAUCCUUUGUAUUUUGUUUAAGUUAGUUGUUGACACCAUUUUUUAGAUGAAAACGGGGUCGACUUGGAUUUUGAAUAUGAAAACGAAAAUAGGAGUCGCCACCAAUCUUUUUUUUAUGAGGUGUGAUCGGAUCACCUCGUAAAAGUGGUUGUUUUUAAUAAACAAUUUAAUUUUAUUAAAACAACGAGUUUGGUCCAUGAAAUAUAAAGAAAUGGGUUCGGGAGUCGGUUACGUACGAGGAAGGAUUAGCACCCUCGUAACGCCCAAAAUUGGUACCUAGUUGAUUGGUUAAUGUCUUAAUGUCGAAAAUUGAAAACUUUAAAGAAUUUUAAAAAUACGAUCCUUGUAUUAAAAUGUUGAAAUUUUUUGGGAAACGAAGCAUAUUUUAUGUUAAUCGAGAAAAAGACAUCAUAUCCAGUAAGUUAGGACACAAUGUCUCGAAUUCCCAAUACGCGAAUGAAUGCCAAAAAUUUACUUAUUUAAAAGAUAUUUAGUUAUCUCGGAUUUUAAAAAAAGGGAUUAGGCCCAAUAAGUUAAGACUUAAUUUUUUCUUAAUCUCCGAGGUCAUUUAAAACUUAGGUUUUAAAAAGAGACUAGUGUAAUAAAGUUUAAAAGGAUAUUCAAUUGUUUAAGUCAGAUGAAGAAAUCGCAACCCAAUACGUUAGGGCACAAUUUCUCAAAAUGUUAAACAUUGAAUAUUGCUUUUAUUAUUUUUUUUAGAAAAAUUCUCAUCUCGGGAAAACAACAUGUCAUACCCAAUGCGUUAGGGCACAACUUAUUGAAUUCCCGAUGAUGAGCUUUUUAUUAUUUUUUAAAAGAGUAAUAUCGAUUAUUUAGAUUCAACGAAAAAAAACGAAACCCAAUACGUUAGGGCUCGAUUCUCUCAAAGAUUUCAAAUACCGAGUAUAUCUCGUAUUUUUAAAAUAUCUUCUUUUUUGAAAUCUAAAUAAAAAUGGGUGUAAUGGAAUAACAAUAAUGAUGAUGUAAGUAAAAUAAUACAAGCAAAAACAAAAGAUAAAUAAAUAAGAAGACAAAUAUAUAUAUGUAUAAAUAUAUAAAUAAAAUCAAUUACGUAUGCACAAUAACAGGUAAUAAACAAACAAAAAUUAUAAAGCAUAACAAAUCAUACUAACUGACAUGUAAAUAAAUAAAUAAAUGAAGAAAAUAAAUAAAAGAUAUAUUAUAAAAUAUAAAAAUAUAAGUAUUUAUUUAUAUGUCUAAAUAGAUUAUAAAAUACAAAAAUAUAUAAAAAUAUAAGUAUGUACGUUAAUAAAAAAUGUGCAGAUAUAUAUAUUUAUGCAAAUUAAAAAAUAUGUACGUAUAUAUAUUAUAAAAACUUAUUCACAUUUAUAUAUAUACAUAUUUGAAAUUGUAAAAUAAUUAAAAAAAUGUACAUAUAAAUAUAUAUAAAACAUGGGAUGUACGUAUGUAUACUAAAAUAAUUGUAUGUAUGUAUAUGCAUAUAACAUAAUUUAAAGUAAAAAUGUAUUUAAUAAUAAUAAUAAUAAUAGUUUUAAUAACAAUAUAUAAUAAUAAAAAACAACAAUAAUAACAAUAAUAAUUAUUAUUUAUAUUAUUAUUAUUAUUAUUAUUAUUAUACUCCUCAAUAUUCUCUUUUAUCAUCUUUAUAUGAUUUUCUUAUUUUAUCAAAAAAUCAAUUAGACAUUAUUCAAUUUAUUACUACUUUUAUUAUAUAUCAAUUUUAGGGAUGUUACAUUUAUACUUGUGCCAUAGGACUUUUUGUAUAUUUACAAUUUAGUCCCUUCCUUAAUACAUCAUAUCAUGCUUCUUGAUUUAACUCUCUUUUGAUAUAUUGCAACUUUCAUUUUCUUUGAUCUUAUACAUUAUGUCGCUAAGAUUUUAUCUCAUACUAUUUACGAAAAGGGAGUUUUGAGGAUGUUACACAAACAAAGAAUAUGAGGCAAAGUGAUAAAAAAAUGUAAACGUAGAGGACUAAAUUGAUACUUUCCUACAUUAUUUUUAUUUAAUGUUUCAAAUAUAUAGAAAUAAUUUUAAAAGAUUAAAUUAGACACAUAUCACAUUUAACACAUAACUUGGUGUCUAACAAUUUCGAACAAAAAUAAAACAACAAUAUUACUUUACGAAAAUAGUAAAAGGAUGAUUAUAACCUAAACAUUGUCAAAGGAUUCACACCUUACUUAUUAGCUGCUUCUUCGUGGAACAAUCAAAACUUCCUCCACAUUUUAUCUCCAGCCCAUUACAUUUCUUCAAUCUGCGAUCAUAAAAUGUAUUUAUAUAAAAAAAACAAUAAUAUAUUGAAUGUUAUAAAAGAAAACAGUGUUAUCCAAAUUUGGGAUAGGCAUAGAAUACGAGUUUGUGUUCGACAUGUAUAUGCUUAGAUUUUUUAAGUUAAUUAUUUAUAUUUAAAAGAUUAUAUCUCAUUUAUUGUAGAGUAAAUAAUCGAAAGUGAAUACUUUAAAUGAAAUAAUAAAAAAAUGUAAAUAAUAUGAUAGAUAAAAAAAAAUCAUAAAAAAGAAAAAGAAUUAAUAGGAGAAGGCCAAUGAAGUAGUUUGCCACAAUUAAUAGGCCAAUGAAUUAAUAGGUUUCAUCUCCUUUAGGUAUUUAAAAAAUUAGUUCAUAAUAAAAAAUAAAAAUAUCUCAAAGACAAUAUAACCACAAAAAAUAAAUAAACUCAUAAUAAACUUCAAAAAAAUCAAAAGGAAAUCUUCAAUUUUGACGGAAAUCUGUUUCAGAGUCAGCUUCAAUGGUGUUUUCCGAAUUGUUUUCUUCAAUCUUCUUUGAUGAUCUUCUCUCAUCUUCUUAUAUGUGGCAGCCUAUAUGACUCCUAAAAUAUGCUCCAAUUGUCCAAUUUUCACUCGUUUUGCUCUCAAAUGCUCUAUUAAGUAUAGAAACAUGAAUUUAAAGGACUAGGAUCAUAAAAUUCACCGCUUUGUAUCGAUUAAUUAUCUUAAAACGCAUUAAGAACGAAAUUAAAACAUGUUACUUUUAGCAUUUAUCAUUAGUAUUCUUGUUAAAAAAAAAUCAUUUCGAUUUUUUUUUUUUAAGUUGAUGGUCAAAUUUAAUUUUUAUUAAAAAAACAAUUGAGAAUCAAAAACAAAGAAUAAGAGGCAAAGUGAUAAAAAAGGACUAAAUUAAUAUUUAUUUAAUAUUUGUAAUAUAGAUAUAUGAUUAAUCUUUCAAAUAUAUAAAAGCAAAUUUAAAAGAUUAAACUAGACACAUAUCACACUUAAUACAUAACUUGGUCUCUAACAAUUUUGAAUAAAAGUGAAAGGACAAUUUUACUUGACGAAAUUAGUCUAAUAACAAGAAGAAAAGGAUGAUUAUAACCUCUAAACAUUGUCAAAGGAUUCACACCUUACUUAUUAGUUGCUUCUACAUGGAACAAUCAAAACUUCUUUCACAUUUUAUCUCCAGCCGAUUACAUUUUUUUCAAUCUGUGAUCAUAAAAUUUAAUUAUGUAAAAAUAAUAAUAUUUUGAAUGUUAUAUAUAUGUAAAUAAAAAAACAAAACAAUGUUAUCUAACUUUGGGAAGAACAUAGAAUAUGAGUUUGUCUUCAACAUGUAUAUGCUCAGAAUUUUUAAAUUAAUUACAUAUAUUUAAAAGAUUAUAUCUCAUUUAUUAUAAAGUAAAUAUAUCGAAAAUAAAUACUUUAAAUGGAAUAAAAAAAACUGUAAAUAAUAUGAUAGAUAAAAAAAGAAUUAAUAGGACAAGGCCAAUGAAGUAGUUUAACCACAAUUAGUGCUUCUUCCCAAGUCUGCCCAUUAUAGAACUGAAUAUUUUUUGCAUUCGUUUUGGUUGCGGCCCUUCAUCCAUCUCCUCGUAGAUAUUAAGUUUUCGCUUUAUUAGGGAACCGUUACCUUUUGAUCCAUCAUCAGCAGAGUGUUGCUGGAUAUCUUCAAAAUUUGCACAACGCUUACUACCAUGCAGCUCUUGCAUUUGUUCCAUCUCUUCCAAAUCUCUCUCAUACACUAUUCUAACACCACACUUCUUCACCUUAAAACUGUUAGGUCUUUCGAAAGACAACUCAAGUUGAUGGCAUUCCUGAUCUAAGCAACCUGUUGUCCAAAAAUUAUUGGUUUCGCGUUCACCACAUUUGUCUUCCAAGGAAAUUGGAUACAACUUGUCACGCGACAAAUAACGAAUUAAAAUGUGGUCCUUCAUUACGGGCCGUUCAAAAUGAUAAUCUACAUCCCAGCCACUACAGUCGACAUAUCGACCAUCUCUAUCCUGGAAAUUAGAUUGAGUCAAUUGGCUUGUCUAGAAUAUCUACCAUGGAUAACAGCUCUACACAUGAGUUCCUCAUUCCUUGAAGCAUCAUCACUGACAAAAAUGCAGCACAAAGAAACUCCCAUCCAUUGACAAUCAUUCCGAACUUCCAGAGGCAAAUCUAUCUUAAUUGAAGGGCCACCUCUUAGUUGACUAAACCAUUCUGGCAUUUCACUUCCAGGUAGAAUAAUAUCAAACAAUUUUCUUGAAUUUCCAAAUACCUGCAAAAUAAACCUCUGGUUGUUUGGUAAGAGACAACCUGAAUAAUUAUAAGACACAGAGAAAAAGAGAUAUUAACGAACCUUUAGAUGUUUUUUCAGCAAUGUUAAGGCGUUGAUGUUCUCAGCCAAUCUGAAGCAAUUAACACCUACUAUAUUUACCCACUCCUUUGAAUUGCAAACUUUUGAUGGAUUUGCUACUAUUUCCAGAGAAGGACAACCAUUUAUUCUUACAAAAACUAUACUCGUUGGAAGCUCAGGCAAUGAUUUAAGCGCCCUGCAAUCUGACAAUCUAAGAAAUCCAAGCUUGGAAAUUCGAUUAACACACAAAGGUAUGCUGAUGAAAUUGUUACCACCAAGAUCAAGUUCUUUCAAAGAGGAUAGGCGAGAAAUAUCACCAGGAAUAUCUCCUUCGCAAAGAUUGCAGUCCCUUAGAUUCAGCCUUGUUAAUGAACUCAAACCUAACAACGAAGGCAACGUCAGAGCCAUAGAAUUUGUCCUUCCUCUUUGGAUUACCUUUAACAGAGAAGGAAGUUUUUUUUGCAACUUGGAAGAAGAUACCUUGCACCCAUUAAAAGAUAGAACUUUAAGAUUUUUAAAUUGAAAAAUGAAGGGUGGUGGUUUUGUCAUGGAUGUUUCACUUAAGUCAAGCUCCUCCAAGAACUCUAUUUGCUGCAAAUUCUCUGGCAAAUAUUCAACUUUAAAACAACCAGAAAGAUUAAGAGAUUUUAAACUUUUACACCCAACUAUGCUCCCUGGGAGAUCCACAAGGUUCCUGCAAUCUUUCAAAUUUAACAAAACAAGACUGCUCAGAUUUCCAAUUGAAAUAGGUAGCUCUUUAAUGCCCGUCCCAUCUAAAUAAAGCUCUAGCAGGCAUUCCAUUUUUCCAUCAAUCUCUGGAAAGCUUUCAAGAUUUGAGCAACCUGAAAGAAUUAACUUUUCAAGAGAUUCCAUUCCAAUUUUGAUUGGAAGACCUUUAAGACUUUUGCAGUCUUUUAAAUUCAAAACUUUAAGUCUUUUGAGACUUCCGAUAAAAGAAGGUAGCUCUUUAAUGUUUGUCCCAUCAAAACAAAGCUCCAACAAACAUUCCAUUUUCCCAUCAAUCUCUGGAAAGCUUUCAAGUUUUGAGCAACCUGAAAGAGUUAACCUUUCAAGAGAUUCCAUUCCAAUUCUGGUUGGAAAACUCCU